GACGAACGCUGGCGGCGUGCUUAACACAUGCAAGUCGAACGGAAAGGCGCUGCUUUUGUGGGGUGCUCGAGUGGCGAACGGGUGAGUAACACGUGAGUAACCUGCCCUUGACUUUGGGAUAACUUCAGGAAACUGGGGCUAAUACCGGAUAGGAGCUCCUGCUGCAUGGUGGGGGUUGGAAAGUUUCGGCGGUUGGGGAUGGACUCGCGGCUUAUCAGCUUGUUGGUGGGGUAGUGGCUUACCAAGGUUUUGACGGGUAGCCGGCCUGAGAGGGGGACCGGCCACAUGGGGCCUGAGGUACGGCCCAGUCUCCUACGUGAGGCAACAGUGGGGAGUAUGGCACAGUGGGCGGACGCCUGAGACAGCAACGCCGCGGGCGGGAUGACGGCCUGCGGGUUGUGAACCGCUUUCGCCUGUGACGAAGCGUGAGUGACGGUAAUGUGUAAAGAAGCACCGGCUAACUACGUG
rnacentral:rRNA from 1 species